UCUCCGUAGGUGAACCUGCGGAGGGAUCAUUACAGAGUUCAUGCCCUACCGGGUAGAUCUCCCACCCUAUGUUAUUAUUACUUUGUUGCUUUGGCGGGCCGUUAGGCUCCGGCCCGACUACCGGCCCCGGCUGGUAAGCGCCCGCCAGAGGACCCAAAACCCUGAAUAUUAGUGUCGUCUGAGUACUAUAUAAUAGUUAAAACUUUCAACAACGGAUCUCCUGGUUCUGGCAUCGAUGAAGAAGCAGC
rnacentral:misc_RNA from 1 species